GUUUAAGCCGCCGCGGUAAUACGGGGGGAGCAAGCGUUGUUCGGAUUUACUGGGCGUAAAGGGCGCGUAGGCGGCCAGCGCAAGUCAGUUGUGAAAUCUCCGAGCUUAACUCGGAAAGGUCAACUGAUACUGCGCGGCUAGAGUGCAGAAGGGGCAACUGGAAUUCUUGGUGUAGCGGUGAAAUGCGUAGAUAUCAAGAGGAACACCUGCGGCGAAGGCGGGUUGCUGGGCUGACACUGACGCUGAUGCGCGAAAGCUAGGGGAGCGAACGGGAUUAGAAACCCUAGUAGUCC
rnacentral:rRNA from 1 species